AAUUAUGGGUUUAUCUUAUUAUAUAAAGUAUGGUUUUCAAAGUUACUAACUCAUAAGAUCGCGCCACGUAUCAAGUCAAACGAUCAGAUGUUUACAUGUGUCAUUUAAAAUUUAAAU
rnacentral:sRNA from 1 species